GACGAACGCUGGCGGCGUGCUUAACACAUGCAAGUCGAACGGAAAGGCCCUGCUUGCAGGGUGCUCGAGUGGCGAACGGGUGAGUAACACGUGGGUGAUCUGCCCCUUACUUUGGGAUAAGCCUGGGAAACUGGGUCUAAUACUGGAUAGGACCAUGCUGUAGGUGGUGUGGUGGAAAGAUUAGUUUCGGUAAGGGAUGAGCUCGCGGCCUAUCAGCUUGUUGGUGGGGUAAUGGCCUACCAAGGCGUCGACGGGUAGCCGGCCUGAGAGGGUGGACGGCCACAUUGGGACUGUGAUACGGCCCAGACUCCUACGGGAGGCAGCAGUGGGGAAUAUUGCACAAUGGCGCAAGCCUGAUGCAGCGACGCCGCGUGGGGGGUGACGGCCUUCGGGUUGUAAACUCCUUUCAGCCAUGACGAAGCCCUUGUGGUGACGGUAGUGGUAGAAGAAGCACCGGCUAACUACGUG
rnacentral:rRNA from 1 species